GUUGCUGAAUUAGGCUAAUACAUUUGAGUGGAGAUGCUUGAAUAUUGAUUUCUUUUAUUCAUCCUCUGUGCAGGAACUGUGUGAAUCAGAGGGCCACAAAUGAAAGCUUGAAGAGAAUAAAGGUUUCACCUGCUACUACUAUUAUUGCUGCAACUGAUUUAUCUGUUGUGAAAUAGGUGUGCAAGUGGCAGCGACGAUCCGAAUUGUUCUACACCCAAAAGGAUGUUGAUGUUGUGAGGUCAGAGUGGGCUAAGUUUGUGAUGAAGUAUCAUAUUGCAUAGCUGUGAUGGUUGUUCAAGGCAGGGCUCUUAUUUUGG